CACGUAGGGCGCAAGCGUUGUCCGGAAUUAUUGGGCGUAAAGAGCUCGUAGGCGGUCUGUUGCGUCCGCUGUGAAAACUCGGGGCUUAACCCCGAGCCUGCAGUGGAUACGGGCAGACUAGAGGUAGGUAGGGGAGAAUGGAAUUCCCGGUGUAGCGGUGAAAUGCGCAGAUAUCAGGAGGAACACCAAUGGCGAAGGCAGCUCGCUGGGACGUGACUGACGCUGAGACGCGAAAGCGUGGGGAGCAAACAGG
rnacentral:rRNA from 1 species